rnacentral:rRNA from 1 species
CUUGAACGCUGGCGGCAGGCUUAACACAUGCAAGUCGAGCGCGCGGCGGACGGGUGAGUAAUGUCUGUGCAACUUCCUCCUGUAGCGGGAUAUCUCCUUUAACCGCUACCUCAUACCGCAUACCCUCUUCUGUUCCCAGAUGGGAUUAGCUAUUAGGUGGGGUAAUGGCUCACCUAGGCGACGAUCCCUAGCUGGUGUGAGAGGAUGACCAGCCACAAUGGAACGGAGAAACGGUCCAGACUCCUACGGGAGGCAGCAGUGGGGAAUAUUGCAAAAUGGGCGCAAGCCUGAUGCAGCCAUGCCGCGUGUGUGAAGAAGGCCUUCGGGUUGUAAAGCACUUUAAGCGAGGAGGCGUUACUCGCAGAAGAAGCACCGGCUAACUCCGUGCCAGCAGCCGCGGUAAUUC